rnacentral:rRNA from 1 species
GACGAACGCUGGCGGCGUGCUUAACACAUGCAAGUCGAACGGAAAGGCCCUGCUUUUGUGGGGUGCUCGAGUGGCGAACGGGUGAGUAACACGUGAGUAACCUGCCCUUGACUUUGGGAUAACUUCAGGAAACUGGGGCUAAUACCGGAUAGGAGCUCCUGCUGCAUGGUGGGGGUUGGAAAGUUUCGGCGGUUGGGGAUGGACUCGCGGCUUAUCAGCUUGUUGGUGGGGUAGUGGCUUACCAAGGCUUUGACGGGUAGCCGGCCUGAGAGGGUGACCGGCCACAUUGGGACUGAGAUACGGCCCAGACUCCUACGGGAGGCAGCAGUGGGGAAUAUUGCACAAUGGGCGGAAGCCUGAUGCAGCAACGCCGCGUGCGGGAUGACGGCCUUCGGGUUGUAAACCGCUUUCGCCUGUGACGAAGCGUGAGUGACGGUAAUGGGUAAAGAAGCACCGGCUAACUACGUGCCAGCAGCCGCGGUGGUACGUAGGGUGCGAGCGUUGUCCGGAUUUAUUGGGCGUAAAGGGCUCGCAGGUGGUUGAUCGCGUCGGAAGUGUAAUCUUGGGGCUUAACCCUGAGCGUGCUUUCGAUACGGGUUGACUUGAGGAAGGUAGGGGAGAAUGGAAUUCCUGGUGGAGCGGUGGAAUGCGCAGAUAUCAGGAGGAACACCAGUGGCGAAGGCGGUUCUCUGGGCCUUUCCUGACGCUGAGGAGCGAAAGCGUGGGGAGCGAACAGGCUUAGAUACCCUGGUAGUCCACGCUGUAAACGGUGGGUACUAGGUGUGGGGUCCAUUCCACGGGUUCCGUGCCGUAGCUAACGCUUUAAGUACCCCGCCUGGGGAGUACGGCCGCAAGGCUAAAACUCAAAGGAAUUGACGGGGCCCCGCACAAGCGGCGGAGCAUGCGGAUUAAUUCGAUGCAACGCGUAGAACCUUACCUGGGUUUGACAUGGAUCGGGAGUACUCAGAGAUGGGUGUGCCUCUUUUGGGGUCGGUUCACAGGUGGUGCAUGGCUGUCGUCAGCUCGUGUCGUGAGAUGUUGGGUUAAGUCCCGCAACGAGCGCAACCCUUGUUCACUGUUGCCAGCACGUUAUGGUGGGGACUCAGUGGAGACCGCCGGGGUCAACUCGGAGGAAGGUGGGGAUGACGUCAAGUCAUCAUGCCCCUUAUGUCCAGGGCUUCACGCAUGCUACAAUGGCUGGUACAGAGAGUGGCGAGCCUGUGAGGGUGAGCGAAUCUCGGAAAGCCGGUCUCAGUUCGGAUUGGGGUCUGCAACUCGACCUCAUGAAGUCGGAGUCGCUAGUAAUCGCAGAUCAGCAACGCUGCGGUGAAUACGUUCCCGGGGCU